rnacentral:rRNA from 1 species
GGCGGACGGGAUGAGUAAUGCUUGGGAACUUGCCUUUGCGAGGGGGAAACAGUUGGAAACGACUGCUAAUACCGCAUAAUGUCUACGGACCAAACGGGGCUUAGGCUCCGGCGCAAAGAGAGGCCCAAGUGAGAUUAGCUAGUUGGUGAGGUAAAGGCUCACCAAGGCAACGAUCUCUAGCUGUUCUGAGAGGAAGAUCAGCCACACUGGGACUGAGACACGGCCCAGACUCCUACGGGAGGCAGCAGUGGGGAAUAUUGCACAAUGGGGGAAACCCUGAUGCAGCCAUGCCGCGUGUGUGAAGAAGGCCUUCGGGUUGUAAAGCACUUUCAGUUGUGAGGAAAGGCUGGUAGUUAAUACCUGCCAGCUGUGACGUUAACAACAGAAGAAGCACCGGCUAACUCCGUGCCAGCAGCCGCGGUAAUACGGAGGGUGCGAGCGUUAAUCGGAAUUACUGGGCGUAAAGCGGAC